rnacentral:rRNA from 1 species
AUUGAACGCUGGCGGCAUGCCUUACACAUGCAAGUCGAACGGUAGCGGGCCUUCGGGUGCCGACGAGUGGCGAACGGGUGAGUAAUAUAUCGGAACGUACCUUUCAGUGGGGGAUAACGUAGCGAAAGUUACGCUAAUACCGCAUAUUCUGUGCGCAGGAAAGCAGGGGACAUUCGGGCCUUGCGCUGAUUGAGCGGCCGAUAUCAGAUUAGCUAGUUGGUGAGGUAAAGGCUCACCAAGGCGACGAUCUGCAGCGGGUCUGGGAGGAUGAUCCGCCACACUGGAACUGAGACACGGUCCAGACUCCUACGGGAGGCAGCAGUGGGGAAUUUUGGACAAUGGGGGCAACCCUGAUCCAGCCAUGCCGCGUGAGUGAAGAAGGCCUUCGGGUUGUAAAGCUCUUUCGGCCGGGAAGAAAUCGUAUGGGCUAAUACCCUGUGCGGAUGACGGUACCGGCAUAAGAAGCACCGGCUAACUACGUGCCAGCCGCCGCCGUAAGAC